AAUUAAUUCGGCGCACAUUCUGGUUGAAUUCGGAGAAAUAUAUAAAAUCACAUAAAUAAAUAUAAGCACUAAAGGUGCCUUUUCAUGCGACGCUGAAACGUUCAUUUUCCAGCGUCAAGAAAUAACCUAACCUAGUCCGUGCGAGGAAACAAUAUUAAAUAUAUCUUUGCUGUGUAUCACUGUGUAUCACUAAAGUUCAUCAUGUAUAAUUAUAAAUAUCAUGCAUGGUUGACAGAAUGUGCAAAUUUAAUUCGAAAAGGAAAUCGGGAAAAGAACGUAACUCAUGCAGUUAUUUUAUCAGUAAUAGUAGCAAUAAUGAAAAAAAAGAAAAAGAGAUCGUAUACUCCAAAACGAUACUGGAUCGAACCUAUAUUUAGAGAAAAAAAUUUACAUGGAUUUUACAAUAAGAUAUUUACUGUGUUACAACUUGAAGAUUUACGAUUUUAAAAAUUAUUUUAGAAUGUCUUCAACUCAAUUCGAAAAACUUUUGAGUAUUAUUGGUCCUUAUAUUUACAAGAUACAUAAGAACAGCUUCAUUAUUUAAACAUGUUUUCUUACAAUAUCCACAUUUUACGAGAAAAUUCUAAAAUUAUUAAUUCAAUCAUGUACAACCUCAAAAAUUUUACAUGCAUUCUCAUAUUGUAUUAGCAGAUUGUAAUCAGCAGAUUGUAUUAGCCAUAUAUGUAAUACUCCUAUAUUGCUAGAAGAGUGUUGACCGUCAGCCCAAACAUUACGGUGCAGACGUAUAAUAGCCUCUCUCUCGCGAACGGCCCAGCUGAUUUGUGCGCAUGCGGUUACAUUUUUUAAAACACCAUUAGGCGCGAUUUUCACAUAACCUGUUUUCGUGAUUUGUGCGUGUGUGCGACGGUAAACAACGCAUAUUAUAAGCGUCCCAAGUGAGACAAACCAAAGAAAAAAUUUACAAUGGUGCGAAUUUGUUUUUUGUGUCAGAAAAAGGCAGCAAAGGAUGGAAAUUUUGCAAUGCACAAGUAAAUCUUACAUGUAAAAUAUUUCCAAAAGAAGUGAGCAUUCGGGCACAGUGGUUACAUGCCUGCAAAUUAUCUGACAAGGACAAUGUGAUACAUGUACACAUUUGCUCCGAUCACUUUGUACCAAGUGAUUAUAAAAAUAGCAUAGGACUGUGUAGCAGAAAGUGGUUAUUGAAACCAGGAGCAGUGCCUUCCGUUAAUGUGCCAAAUCCUCCAGCUGCCGAAUUGCAGUUCCAGUCAACAUCUGAGAUUAUAAUGGACGAGACAUGAUUAGUGCCUUCUAUUGAUGUUCCAAAUCCUUCAGCUGCCGAACUGCAGUUCCAGUUAACAUCUGAUUAUACAAUGGACGAGACACAAUCAGUGCCUUCUAUUGAUGUUCCUCCAGAUUUCACAUCAGUUUCAAAUGUAGGAGAACUGGAAUUUUCAACAUCCAAGAAUGUGAUGGAUGAGACACGUAAAUUUAAAACUAAACUAUUUUUCUUGAGGGUACUAAAUACUGAAAGGAGUUGUUAUAGCUUUAGUUGAACGUAAUCCAUGUUGAUUUAUUAAUAACAGUAAUAAUGACUUGCUUGAACUAUUAAAAACGCUUUUAUCUAAAAAGAUUACAUUUUCCUAUUCCAUAUCUUAUUCUCGAGAUAUUUUAGAAUGUCCAUUAAAAUGAAAAACCCUACACCUAUAAUUUCAAUCAUUCUCUUCAAAUAUUAUUAUUCGUUAAUUAACAUUUAUCCGUUAGAAGUUGCAAAUAAGCAUUCGGUCGCGACCGGGUAAUGUUUUUUCUGUUUCGCGUCCUUUCCGUCUCAUUUCCUAAUCCUUGUCUCUCGCUCACACUCACUCAAUAGACGCGCCUGAGCAUAAUGAGGCUUGACCGUCCAUGCCCAUAUUUGGAAUUCGUGCAUCUCUUUUUUACGGGGCUCGUCCCGCUCAUUGUGAAGAUACGGAACUAGCAAUAUAGGAGUAUUACAUAUAUGGUAUUAGCAGUAUUGUAACAGAUAUUCAAACUAUUACUUCAUGUUUAAUAAUUUACCUCCCUUUCUUUGCUGUGCAUGAUGAAACUGGAGCAAACAAAAAUUUUCAACUAAAAAAUUGCACAAAUGAAUUUAUAUCAAAUUGAAUUUAUAUCAAUCAAGGGAUCUCCAAUAACUCCGUCAACUACUGCCGACGCUGGACGCUGGAAAGUUGAUUAGAAACAAACAUUUUAGCGUCAACCAUAAGAUAAAAUUACAUAGAGUGAACAUAAACAAAACAAGCGUUGAGCGUUUCAGCGUCGUAUGAAAAGGCACUUUAAGACCUAGCUACGACCGAAGAAGGCUUUCUUACUAUCAUUGUGUUGUUACACUAUUGGUCCAAUAACAUAUUUGUAACUUGAUUAAGUGUUUCGAACAUUGUUUUGUAUAGAACAUUAUAAAUAAAUAUAUAAAUUAAUUUUA